rnacentral:rRNA from 1 species
UACGUAGGGGGCUAGCGUUGUUCGGAAUUACUGGGCGUAAAGCGCGCGCAGGCGGUCUUCCAAGUCAGUGGUGAAAGCCCGGAGCUCAACUCCGGAACUGCCAUUGAAACUGUUGGACUUGAGUAUGAGAGAGGUGAGUGGAAUUCCCAGUGUAGAGGUGAAAUUCGUAGAUAUUGGGAAGAACACCGGUGGCGAAGGCGGCUCACUGGCUCAUUACUGACGCUCAGGCGCGACAGCGUGGGGAGCAAACAGG